GAUGAACGCUGGCGGCGUGCCUAAUACAUGCAAGUCGAGCGAACAGACGAGGAGCUUGCUCCUCUGACGUUAGCGGCGGACGGGUGAGUAACACGUGGAUAACCUACCUAUAAGACUGGGAUAACUUCGGGAAACCGGAGCUAAUACCGGAUAAUAUAUUUAACCGCAUGGUUCAAUAGUGAAAGACGGUUUUGCUGUCACUUAUAGAUGGAUCCGAGCCGCAUUAGCUAGUUGGUAAGGUAACGGCUUACCAAGGCAACGAUGCGUAGCCGACCUGAGAGGGUGAUCGGCCACACUGGAACUGAGCCACGCUCCAGACUCCUGAGGGAGGCAGCAGUAGAAAAUAUUCAGCAAUGGGCGAGAGCCUGACGGAGCGACGCCGCGUGAGUGAUGAAGAUGUUCGGAUCGUAAAACUCUGUUAUUAGGGAAGAACAAAUGUGUAAGUAAAUAUGCACGUAUUGACGGUACCUAAUCAGAAAGCCACGGCUAACUACGUG
rnacentral:rRNA from 1 species